rfam:Candidatus Thrbacteria bacterium RIFCSPHIGHO2_02_FTLL_57_19 rifcsphigho2_02_scaffold_2498, whole genome shotgun sequence.
UCCGGGGUCGUCUAAUGGUAGGACGCCACCCUUUGGAGGUGGUUGUGAAGGUUCGAAUCCUUCCCCCGGAA